rnacentral:tRNA from 1 species
UUUGGCACAGCUGGUAGCGCAUCGGUCUCACAAGCUGAAGGUCCCGAGUUCGAUCCUCAGAA